ACGCACGCUGGCGGCGUGCUUAACACAUGCCAGUCGAACGGUGAUGCUCCAGCUUGCUGGAGUGGAUCAGUGGCGAACGGGUGAGUAACACGUGAGCAACCUGCCCCAGACUCUGGAAUAAGCGCUGGAAACGGCGUCUAAUACUGGAUACGAAACUGGCCCGCAUGGGCAUGGUUUGGAAAGUUUUUCGGUUUGGGAUGGGCUCGCGGCCUAUCAGCUUGUUGGUGAGGUAAUGGCUCACCAAGGCGACGACGGGUAGCCGGCCUGAGAGGGCGACCGGCCACACUGGGACUGAGACACGGCCCAGACUCCUACGGGAGGCAGCAGUGGGGAAUAUUGCACAAUGGGCGAAAGCCUGAUGCAGCGACGCCGCGUGAGGGAUGACGGCCUUCGGGUUGUAAACCUCUUUCAGCAGGGAAGAAGCGAAAGUGACGGUACCUGCAGAAGAAGCACCGGCUAACUACGUG
rnacentral:rRNA from 1 species